UCUGGGGUCCCUCCCGUGGGUCUGGGGUCUCUCCCGUGGGUCUGGGGUCCUCCCGUGGGUCUGGGGUCUCUCCCGUGGGUCUGGGGUCUCUCCCGUGGGUCUGAGCCGCGCUAUGGGGCUGCCCCACACCGCAGGGAUCCUGGAGGUUCUGUACUGCGUGCUGUGGGUCUGGGGUCCCUCCCGUGGUUCUGGGGUCUCUCCCGUGGGUCUGGGGUCUGUGCUGUGGGUCUGGGGUCCCUCCCGUGGGUCUGGGGUCCCUCCCGUGGGUCUGGGGUCUGUGCUGUGGGUCUGGGGUCUGUGCUGUGGGUCUGGGGUCCCUCCUGUGGGUCUGGGGUCUCUCCUGUGGGUCUGGGGUCUCUCCCGUGGGUCUGACUCCCGCUAUGGGGCUGCCCCACACCGCAGGGAUCCUGGAGGUUCUGUACUGCGUGCUGUGGGUCUGGGGUCUGUGCUGUGGGUCUGGGGUCUGUCCUGUGGGUCUGGGGUCUCUCCCGUGGGUCUGGGGUCUCUCCCGUGGGUCUGAGCCGCGCUAUGGGGCUGCCCCACACCGCAGGGAUCCUGGAGGUUCUGUACUGUGUCCUGAUCGAGAGCCCCGAGGUGCUCAACAUCAUCCAGGAGAAUCACAUCAAGUCCAUCAUCUCCCUGCUGGACAAGCACGGCCGCAACCACAAGGUGGGGAGGGGCUCAGGUGUGCUCAGGUGUGUCCCCAGGUGUCCCCAGGUGUCCCCCCAGGUGUGCUCAGGUAUCCCCAGGUGUCCCCAGGUGUCCCCAGGUACACUCAGGGGUGUCCCCAAGUGUCCCCAGGUACACUCAGGUGUCCCCAGGUGUUCCCAGGUACACUCAGGUGUGUCCCCAGGUGUCCCCAGGUGUUCCCAGGUACACUCAGGUGUGUCCCCAAGUGUCCCCAGGUGUCCCCAGGUACACUCAGGUGUGUCCCCAGGUGUCCCCAGGUGUCCCCAGGUACACUCAGCUGUGUCCCCAGGUGCUGGACGUGCUGUGCUCGCUGUGUGUCUGUAACGCCGUGGCCGUGCGCUCCAACCAGAACCUCAUCACCGAGAACCUGCUGCCCCGCCGCGACCUCCUGCUGCAGACCGGCAUGGUCAACUACGUCACCAGGUGGGGCAUUUGGGGGGGUCCCUGCUGGAUUUGGGGGGGUCCCUGCUGGAUUUGGGGGGUCCUGGG
rnacentral:lncRNA from 1 species